rnacentral:misc_RNA from 1 species
AUGCAGUAGCAGCCAGUGCACGAUGAGUCGUCGGCCUGACUUUGUAUCCUGACAGGUUCGAAGAAGUGCGUUAUAUGAACCGUGCCUGGCACUGGCAAAACAACGCACGCAUCGAAAUGAGUCCACGCACCGGGUUCUCAUGACUAUAUUUCACUCCGAUUCUAUGUGCACGACAGCCUUGCCAUUCCGCAAAGCGAUAAAGCUAUGGAACGCUACAUAGCUUCCUGUUAAGUCACGAAACAAAUAGACGCACGAUCGCAAAGGCGUCACCUACUGUUUUGUAAACACGGGGGCAUAGCGGAGGUACAUUUCCAGCGAUCACUCAUCCUUGCCGGAGAGGAGGAUCAUCAAAGCGACCUGGCCGUUGCACGUGCUGCCGUGCGCGAACGUGCUAGCGUCCAGGCGGAACUGUUUCUGGAGCGCGCAGGGUCGGUUGUUUACCGAGGCGCGACCGCUGCGUAAGCACCAGCGCGGACCGCUGAAAACCGGCGCGUUCCGAGAAGGCUCUCGGCGAGGCCGGCGUAGCGCGGGCGACAACGCGCUUCCACCUCGGCACGUCAACGCACCUUGCGGCAUCCGACGCGCGUCCACCGCUCCCAGGCAGCGCACUUCCUGAAGCGCCUUCUUCGGACGGGCCUUCGCAAACUGGCCGCGAGGGCUCGAGGAACUGUUCGGUGAGCGCCGAGCAACAUCCGUGGGAACACAAUGCGAACCGCUGCCUCUCCAACCACAGCCCGAUAAGAGAACGCGCUUCCUUGCGCCGCGCACGUCAGCAAAGGCGCACAAACAGUUCAAGCUGGCCGGGAAGAGCGGCGGCGGCGUCGACGACGACGUGAGCCGCGACGUCAGCGGCGUAGCGCUCGCACCCGGAAGCCACCGUCGCGGGAAAGUUUGAAAAAGGGGUGCGCGCGAUAAGCGGUAGCAAGAAAGCGUCGCCGUUCGUUCCAAGCGCCAGUGUCCCAUCGCCUACGGAACCGUGCGGAGUGUAUUGAGCCUCGUGGGGCAUCUACGUGGCCGCUGCGCGUGUUUUUUCCCCGCGCCGAUUUUGAGCCCUCCCUCCUCCCGCGCCGAGGAGAGGAGUCGCAGAAAAGAGAAGUGCGCCGAACUCGAGCAGCGCGCGGGUAAUUUUCGACAGGAAAGGAGAGGGACCGACACGCGAGAGGAGAGCGCACGGACGGCCGCUUUCCGGAGUCCCACCGAAACGUCAGUCGCACAGAGGCAGCGGUCAGGCUCGGACCUGUGCGCCUCCCCGGGUCGUCGUGCCAGCGAGUCGGCCUCUGCAGCCUCCUUUGGACGAGCACGCCGCCGUGACCACGAUGCGCGGAGGCGCCGGAGCAACCAUCAUCCUCCUGCUACUGCGACUCGCCGUCGCCCAAGGAUCGACCACCGAGCGGAGCAAGUACUUGCCUAUCGUGUUUCCGGAGGAAAAGCCGCCUUGUCCUGCUGGCCUCGUGUGCCGGGACAUCACGCUUUGCUCGUCGGCCAUCAACCAGGUGCGCAGCGGUGGCAGGCCCACCAUCUGCGGCUGGAACCGACAUGUGGCCAAGGUGUGCUGCCCGCAGGACUCCCGGGUCGGCACGGGUCGCCCUUACACGCCAGAGUUCAUUGCUUUCCGAAGGCCGUCGGAAUGCGGAAUUCUGGUCGUCCCCCAAGUCAACGCUUCUGCCACGACGAAGAUACCAAAAACGUCCACGCUGAAAUCGUCCACCAGUAGUAGCACCUCACGGUCUACAAGUUCGAGUUCGACGCGGUUUCCUUCAACUCAGAAGAAAAGCUACGUUUACUCGACGGCGACAUCUCCUUCAAAGGCGAACGCGAGUGCGAGCCGGCGAGCAUCGGUGGCACCACCGCUCCGGGGCCACACACAGCCCACGCUGAGGCCCAGUGCAAACUUCGGGUACAACCUGAACCAGCGGAGCACGUCCGCCUACCUGACCACCACGCCCCCGUAUUCAGCGCGGGCAUCACCGCCGCAGCGGCAGGCCCCUGCGGCGGUGGCUCCAGCGUCGGUUCCGGCGCGGAGCCCGGCGCCCGCACCGGCGCCCGCACCGUCCGGCGGCGGCCACGUGCACUACAGCGUCUACCAAAGCAACCAGGUGGUGAGGAGCCACAACCAGUACGAGUACAGUGAGUUCCGAGGCUCCUCUGGCGACCGGAACCACAUCACCGGCGGUGGCAGCCACCACCAGUAUUGGGAACCGCCGCCUCAGAACCAGCGGGGCUACGCCGAUGGCGGCGGCCGCGCGUCCAACGACUGGUACAGUUACAACACGUUCUCCAAGAGGCAGGCCCGCGCCAUCCGCGACUGGGGCAAAGGGUCGCGCGGCCACGGCUUCGGCAACGACGUCCUCCUCCAGAAAGGCUUCUCGAGAGAGGACAAGAAGCGGCGCAACGACUGGGCGCCCAAGAAGAAGGUGGGUGCUGGCAGAGCGAGGCCGCCGGGAACAACGCACCGUCCGCGGCGCACCAAGCGGACGGGAAAAGUGGAUGCCCGCGUGCCAGACCCGGACCUCAUCAAGGCCAUUGCACCGGCGGUCAGCCUCGUGGUGGGAGGCCAGGCGGAUUACAACACCUGGCCCUGGAUGGCUGCCAUACUAAUGGGCAGCGAGCUGAAGUUCCUCUGUGGGGGAUUUCUGAUCAACGAUCGAUACGUUCUGUCGGCUGCGCACUGCUUCGAAAGGCACAGGCCGUCGCAGAAGUACGGCGUUCGCCUGGGACAGAUUCGCGUGGACGAGGGCCGCGUGUACAACGUGGAGAGGUUCGUGCAGCACGAGGACUACGUGCGCCGCGAGUACUACAACGACAUCGCGCUGCUGCGUCUCACCGAGUCCGUCCCGCUGGCGCUCAUCAAGCCCGUCUGCCUGCCCGGCCCGGACCUCGCAAACUCGGACCUGGUCGGCAAGGAGGCCACCGUCCUCGGAUGGGGAGACACCAUGUUCGGUGGUCCUCGCAGCGACAUUCUGCAGGAGGUGAACGGCCUGCCCGUUGUUCCCGUGAAGCAAUGCAAUGAGUCCUACUCAAAGCUCCGGGGCAACCCAUUCCGCCGGGGCAUCACGUCCGAGUUCAUCUGCGCCGGCCUCCCUCAGGGCGGCAAGGACGCCUGCCAGGGCGACUCUGGCGGACCGCUCAUGCUGGACCACGAGGGACGCUGGACGGCGGUGGGAAUCGUGUCUUUCGGCUAUCGCUGCGGGGUGGCUGGCUACCCCGGCGUGUACACACGUGUCUCGAGGCACCUGCAGUGGAUAGAUAACAACAUAUACAUGGACUCCAUCGGCUACAACACAAUUGUGUGAGCCGUGAGAGCCGACGCGACCAUCGCAGUGUACUGAGAGAGAGAGAGAGAGAGAGAAAGUGCCUGGACGCGUUAUCGGCGCGGACUAUUCAUGGUGCCUCCAAGCCUGCCGCUCCAAGACGACCGUGCGAGAGGGGACGGGACGAUCGUAUUGAGGGAAGUCAAAUCCAUCGACUGAGGCGAUUCUCUGCUCCGGAGCACCGGAUCCGACGACAUUUUUUUGGCGCGAGCGAGAGACAGUGUCGUUCAACCCUUGCUGUGCUAAUGCCUUCCAAACUUGCACAGACAAAGCAGAGCUUAGCCGAGGAGUCUUGCUAUGUACGGCCUCGCAAGAAAAGUCUGUGAGCAGGUGCUAAAGUUACCGUUAGUGUUUAUGCGCCUGAAGACGGAAUGUCAUCAUCGAAGCAGGUGUCAUCCAAUGAAUUCUUUGCUGCUUUGGACACAAAGCAAUGCUCGCUAGGCGCCCCACUUCUUGACAUCGUGCGCUGGUGAUUUCUUUUCAAUCACUGCCUUUGUUUUAUGUAUGCGUGGUUAUGUGCAUGACCGGACAGGCAUGCACGUCAUUUGAAAUUUUCGGGCACCACCACCGGACACUGCCGUACAGCACAAGUAUAUGGCUGUGCCAUCCUUGUGCGAACGAGUGCGUGAGCGUGUGCGUGCUCGUGGAUGAGUGAAAGUAGAAACAGAGUGGAA